AGGUUAAGUUAACAAGGGCGCAUGGUGAAUGCCUUGGCACUAGGAGCCGAUGAAGGACGGGACUAACACCGAUAUGCUUCGGGGAGCUGUACGUAAGCUAUGAUCCGGAGAUUUCCGAAUGGGGCAACCCAGCAGUUUUAAUCAACUGUUACCACUAGAUGAAUUCAUAGUCUAGUUGGAGGUAAACGCUGUGAACUGAAACAUCUCAUUAGCAGCAGGAAUAUAAAGAAAUUUCGAUUCCCUAAGUAGCGGCGAGCGAACGGGGAACAGCCCAAACCAAAGUGCUUGCACUUUGGGGUUGUAGGACUGAACAUUUGAGUUACCAAAGAACUUGAUAGUCGAAGGAUUUGGGAAAAUCCGCCAUAGAUGGUGAUAGCCCAGUAGAUUAAAUCAAAUUCUCUCAGUUCAGGAUCCUGAGUACGGCGGAACACGUGAAAUUCCGUCGGAAUCCGGGAGGACCAUCUCCCAAGGCUAAAUACUACCUAGUGACCGAUAGUGAACCAGUACCGUGAGGGAAAGGUGAAAAGCACCCCGGGAGGGGAGUGAAAUAGUUCCUGAAACCAUGUGCCUACAAUAAGUCAGAGCGCGUUAAUGCGUGAUGGCGUGCCUUUUGUAGAAUGAACCGGCGAGUUAUGAUCCCGUGCAAGGUUAAGACUAAAAAGUCGGAGCCGUAGCGAAAGCGAGUCUGAAAUGGGCGUUUUGAGUACGAGGUUAUAGACCCGAAACCAGGUGACCUAUCCAUGUCCAGGUUGAAGGUGCGGUAAAACGCACUGGAGGACCGAACCCGUGUAAGUUGAAAAUUGCUGGGAUGAGGUGUGGAUAGCGGUGAAAUUCCAAACGAACUUGGAGAUAGCUGGUUCUCUCCGAAAUAGCUUUAGGGCUAGCCUCGGAAUUAGGAUCAUGGAGGUAGAGCACUAUUUGGACUAGGGGCCCGUCUUGGGUUACUGAAUUCAGAUAAACUCCGAAUGCCAUUGAUUCAUAUCCGGGAGUCAGACGAUGAGUGAUAAGAUCCACCGUCGAAAGGGGAACAGCCCAGACCAUCAGUUAAGGUCCCUAAAUGUAUGCUAAGUGGAAAAGGAUGUGGAGUUGCAUAGACAACUAGGAUGUUGGCUCAGAAGCAGCCACCAUUUAAAGAGUGCGUAAUAGCUCACUAGUCGAGUGAUCCUGCGCCGAAAAUGUACCGGGGCUAAGCAUACUACCGAAACCAUGGAUGCGACCAUUAGGUCGCGUGAUAGGAGAGCGUUCUAAGGGCGGUGAAGCAAGAUCGUGAGGACUUGUGGAGCGCUUAGAAGUGAGAAUGCCGGUAUGAGUAGCGAAAGAUAGGUGAGAAUCCUAUCCACCGAAUGACUAAGGUUUCCUGGGGAAGGCUCGUCCUCCCAGGGUUAGUCGGGACCUAAGUCGAGGCCGAGAGGCGUAGACGAUGGAUAACAGGUUGAGAUUCCUGUACUAGUUAAGUGCGUUUGAGCAAUGGAGGGACGCAGGAGGCUAAGAUGUGCAUUCUGUUGGAUUAGAAUGUCCAAGCAGUAAGUCUUGUGAAGAGUCAAAUGCUUUUCACUUUAAGGACAAGCUGUGAUGGGGAGCGAAAUUUAGUAGCGAAGCGUCUGAUGUCACACUGCCGAGAAAAGCUUCUAGUGAGUACUUAACUACCCGUACCGCAAACCGACACAGGUAGUCGAGGAGAGAAUCCUAAGGUGAGCGAGUGAACUCUCGUUAAGGAACUCGGCAAAAUGACCCCGUAACUUCGGGAGAAGGGGUGCUGAUCGCAAGAUCAGCCGCAGUGAAUAGGCCCAGGCGACUGUUUAUCAAAAACACAGGUCUCUGCAAAAUCGCAAGAUGACGUAUAGGGGCUGACGCCUGCCCGGUGCUGGAAGGUUAAAAGGAUGGGUUAGCUUCGGCGAAGCUCAGAAUUGAAGCCCCAGUAAACGGCGGCCGUAACUAUAACGGUCCUAAGGUAGCGAAAUUCCUUGUCGGGUAAGUUCCGACCCGCACGAAAGGCGUAACGAUCUGGGCACUGUCUCAACGAGAGACUCGGUGAAAUUAUAUUGUCCGUGAAGAUGCGGACUACCCGCGACAGGACGGAAAGACCCCAUGGAGCUUUACUGUAGCUUGAUAUUGAGUGUUUGUACAGCUUGUACAGGAUAGGUAGGAGCCAUAGAAACCGGAACGCUAGUUUCGGUGGAGGCGUUGGUGGGAUACUACCCUCGCUGUAUGACCACUCUAACCCGCACCACUAAUCGUGGUGGGAGACAGUGUCAGGUGGGCAGUUUGACUGGGGCGGUCGCCUCCUAAAAAGUAACGGAGGCGCCCAAAGGUUCCCUCAGAAUGGUUGGAAAUCAUUCGCAGAGUGUAAAGGCACAAGGGAGCUUGACUGCGAGACAGACAGGUCGAGCAGGGACGAAAGUCGGGCUUAGUGAUCCGGUGGUACCGUAUGGAAGGGCCAUCGCUCAACGGAUAAAAGCUACCCUGGGGAUAACAGGCUUAUCUCCCCCAAGAGUCCACAUCGACGGGGAGGUUUGGCACCUCGAUGUCGGCUCAUCGCAUCCUGGGGCUGUAGUCGGUCCCAAGGGUUGGGCUGUUCGCCCAUUAAAGCGGUACGCGAGCUGGGUUCAGAACGUCGUGAGACAGUUCGGUCCCUAUCCGUCGCGGGCGUAGGAAAUUUGAGAGGACCUGUCCUUAGUACGAGAGGACCGGGAUGGACAUACCUCUGGUGUACCAGUUGUGCCGCCAGGCGCAUCGCUGGGUAGCUACGUAUGGAUGUGAUAAACGCUGAAAGCAUCUAAGUGUGAAACACACCUCGAGAUGAGAUUUCCCAUUCCUUUAUGGAAGUAAGACCCCUGAAAGAUGAUCAGGUAGAUAGGUUAGAAGUGGCAGUGCGGUGACGCAUGAAGCGGACUAAUACUAAUCGGUCGAGGACUUAACCAAG
rnacentral:rRNA from 2 species